rnacentral:rRNA from 1 species
UACGUAGGUGACGAGCGUUAUCCGGAAUUACUGGGCGUAAAGCGUGCGCAGGCGGUUAUAUAAGACAGUUGUGAAAUCCCCGGGCUCAACCUGGGAACUGCAUCUGUGACUGUAUAGCUAGAGUACGGUAGAGGGGGAUGGAAUUCCGCGUGUAGCAGUGAAAUGCGUAGAUAUGCGGAGGAACACCGAUGGCGAAGGCAAUCCCCUGGACCUGUACUGACGCUCAUGCACGAAAGCGUGGGGAGCAAAAGGG